UCCCUCAUAUCUCAGUAGGUAAAGAAGCUGCCUCCAAUGCAGGAGACCCAGGUUCAAUUCCUGGGUCGGGAA
rnacentral:tRNA from 1 species